GACGAACGCUGGCGGCGUGCCUAGUACAUGCAAGUAGAACGCUGAAGGAGGAGCUUGCUUCUCUGGAUGAGUUGCGAACGGGUGAGUAACGCGUAGGUAACCUGCCUGGUAGCGGGGGAUAACUAUUGGAAACGAUAGCUAAUACCGCAUAAUAGUAGAUGUUGCAUGACAUUUGCUUAAAAGGUGCAAUUGCAUCACUACCAGAUGGACCUGCGUUGUAUUAGCUAGUUGGUGAGGUAAUGGCUCACCAAGGCGACGAUACAUAGCCGACCUGAGAGGGUGAUCGGCCACACUGGGACUGAGACACGGCCCAGACUCCUACGGGAGGCAGCAGUAGGGAAUCUUCGGCAAUGGACGGAAGUCUGACCGAGCAACGCCGCGUGAGUGAAGAAGGUUUUCGGAUCGUAAAGCUCUGUUGUAAGAGAAGAACGAGUGUGAGAGUGGAAAGUUCACACUGUGACGGUAUCUUACCAGAAAGGGACGGCUAACUACGUGCCAGCAGCCGCGGUAGUACGUAGGUCCCGAGCGUUGUCCGGAUUUAUUGGGCGUAAAGCGAGCGCAGGCGGUUAGAUAAGUCUGAAGUUAAAGGCUGUGGCUUAACCAUAGUACGCUUUGGAAACUGUUUAACUUGAGUGCAAGAGGGGAGAGUGGAAUUCCAUGUGUAGCGGUGAAAUGCGUAGAUAUAUGGAGGAACACCGGUGGCGAAAGCGGCUCUCUGGCUUGUAACUGACGCUGAGGCU
rnacentral:rRNA from 1 species